rnacentral:rRNA from 1 species
GAUGAACGCUGGCGGCGUGCCUAAUACAUGCAAGUCGAGCGAACGGACGAGAAGCUUGCUUCCCUGAUGUUAGCGGCGGACGGGUGAGUAACACGUGGAUAACCUACCUAUAAGACUGGGAUAACUUCGGGAAACCGGAGCUAAUACCGGAUAAUAUUUUGAACCGCAUGGUUCAAAAGUGAAAGACGGUCUUGCUGUCACUGAUAGAUGGAUCCGCGCUGCAUUAGCUAGUUGGUAAGGUAACGGCUUACCAAGGCAACGAUGCAUAGCCGACCUGAGAGGGUGAUCAGCCACACUGGAACUGAGACACGGUCCAGACUCCUACGGGAGGCAGCAGUAGGGAAUCUUCCGCAAUGGGCGAAAGCCUGACGGAGCAACGCCGCGUGAAUGAUGAAGGUCUUCGGAUCGUAAAGCUCUGUUAUUAGGGAGGAACGUAUGUGUAAGUAACUGUGCACAUCUUGACGGUACCUAAUCAGAAAGCCACGGCUAACUCCGUG